CCUACGGGGCGCAGCAGUGGGGAAUAUUGGACAAUGGGCGAAAGCCUGAUCCAGCCAUGCCGCGUGUGUGAAGAAGGCCUUCGGGUUGUAAAGCACUUUCAGUGGGGAAGAAAGCCUUGGGGCUAAUACCCUCGAGGAAGGACAUCACCCACAGAAGAAGCACCGGCUAACUCCGUGCCAGCAGCCGCGGUAAUACGGAGGGUGCGGGCGUUAAUCGGAAUUACUGGGCGUAAAGCGCGCGUAGGCGGUCUGAUAAGCCGGUUGUGAAAGCCCCGGGCUCAACCUGGGAACGGCAUCCGGAACUGUCAGGCUAGAGUGCAGGAGAGGAAGGUAGAAUUCCCGGUGUAGCGGUGAAAUGCGUAGAGAUCGGGAGGAAUACCAGUGGCGAAGGCGGCCUUCUGGACUGACACUGACGCUGAGGUGCGAAAGCGUGGGUAGCAAACAGGAUUAGAUACCCCAGUAGUC
rnacentral:rRNA from 1 species